UGCAGCCAUCCUCUAAUGGCGUUUUGGUGGCUAUUCUCUGUGAUGGAGAAUGCUUCUCCUUCGUCGGCAUAAAGACUCAGGAUUCGGAUUCAUGGGAUUUGAAGGUUUAAUUGGAUGAAUUUGCUGUUCUUUUCGUGUUUGACUGUAUGAUAGUGUUGCUCGUUCGGAUUGGCAGAAUGAAGAACUGGAAUUGGAUAUUUAGAUAGAUUUGAUGUCCAUUUUGGUGGACUUCACGGUUGAUUGGUGAAAGUAUCAGAUGGUACAUGAGAAAAAAUCUUAGUGUCAAAGCAAAAUGCAAGGAUUUAAGGAAUAGCUCAGAAUGUGUGGCAGAAGUAAGCAGUCGAUGCAGCCUUCUAUCUGUGAUUAUAAAAUAUUUUAGAUUUUUCCAUUGUGGUUGUGUACUGAUGUAAUUAGUAAUGCUUGUAGAAAAAGGACAAAUUUGUGCUUGAAGAAUGACAUUUUGAUUGGAUUU